GGGGGUGACUAGUGACAGAGUGAGGGAAGGGGUGAUUAGUGGCAGAGUGAGGGAGGUGGUGACUUGACUGUCACUAGUCACCACCUCCCUCUGUCACUACUCCCUCCCUCCUUCUGUCACUAGUCACCCCCUCCGUCCCUUACUCUGUUACUAGUCACCCCCUCCCUCACUCGGUCACCAGUCAUCCCCUCCC
rnacentral:sRNA from 1 species